GAUCAAAGCCAGGGAUCGAACACGAGUCCUCAUGGAUACUAGUUGGAUUCAUUACCACUGAGCCAUGACGGGAACUCUGGUAAAACACAUUUCUAACCAUAUCAUUCCCCUGAUUUAAAAUCCUCAAGUCCCCUCAUUGGUUAUCAGGGGCCAGUACUUGGUCCACUAGGAUGAUGGCUAAAGGUGUGAGUAACGCAUAACUGUGUAAAGAUUUCUGUGUUUUCUCAGGAUGAGGAUCUUCUGCAAGUAAAUACUGUGGAGUAGACUUCCCAGUGAGAGUCACGAGAAAGCUGCACACCAUCAAGUAAAUGUGGCUUUGGCCAGAAGCCAGAGCCCAGUGGCAUCAGAACCAGCUCCCAGCAGACGGCAGGGCUGAAAGCAGGAGACCUCACUGGUAUAGAAAGGUGCCUGGUAAAUGUGUGAUACUAGACGGCAAUUCUGAUGCUCUGUGAACUACAGGGGGAGACUAAACUUUUUAGGACUCUGAGAGAAAGCAGAGCAGGUAAGCCCUGCAUUAAGGCCAGGGAUGGUUUCCUGGGUGAAAAAUGCAUUGGCCUUUGUGUAAGCUUGAUGGAAUAUUGAGCUUGGCUCUCUGAUUUCUGAUUUUUUGCACUUUCUUGACUGGGGAAGUUUUCACAAAAACAUAUGCAACUUUAGGGACCAAAAAAUGUACUUGCACAAAAAUGUGCAAAACUUUAGGUACAAUAAUGUACGAAACUUUGGGUCAAUUUUUAGCAUCUUUUAAAAAAUAGUGAUCUUAAAAGUUUUGUUUGAGAAGAGGCAAGACACUAGCGAUGGCUUGAAAACCACUGGGACAUUUGGAGUGUUCUUACUGGCCUGUCUGUAGCUAUUUCUAAGUAAGUAUUUCAUGAUCAACUUGUGAUUUGAUUUCAGAAUCUCAGGGUAAACCUUAGGCUGAUCUAACCUGGUAUUUCCUCACCCUGGACUUUUGCUGUGCGUGCUCAGGGUCAAAUGUAAUUAAACAGAAGCCCCUGCAGAGUGGCUGUUUCUUUGAACAGUACCGAUAUCCACUGACUGUGACUGAGGUGGGUGUCUGCAUUCUUGCAGUAAAGGAGUUACUUGACUCACCUUUCUUCUUUUUCUCAGCUUCCCAUAGAUUGAAACCUCUCCUGUUAAAACCCAUUUUAGACUUACAUUCAGAGGUCACACUUCAGAUGGGCAAGUAUCCUUAACCUCAGUAAUACAACAUGGGCUAGAUAACAAUUGCUGCUCUUUUCCCCUUUUCUUUUUAAAGAUGCUGUGUGUGUUUGCCCAAAUGCACAUAGCCUUCUAAUGUAUUUUCACUUCUACUGCAGUUACUAUGAAGGAAUUUAAAAGUUUUUGGUAUGACUCUUCUUAGACAUCCGUAGAGCUCCGAUCCUAAUUUUUUUUUGCUUUCCUUUUUUUCUU